GGGGGUGUACCGGUUUCGACGGGGAUCUUGAAGUGUGAUAAGCGGGUCAGGCCGGGUAAUCCUGUCAACUGCCCAACCUUAAAAAAUAAACGACAACAAUACUGUUGCUCUUGCAGCCUAAUUGGCUGUGACGCGGCCCAUUGCGCCGCCCGUCUCCCGGAGAAGGACCACGGUCUCCGCUGAGGCGUCAUGUAAGUGGUGAACUUGCAUCGGUAUUUCGCCAUUGAACCGAUCAAGCACAAAAUGGCUGCUUGCGUUACGGUUUGUUCCUGUACCGUGCCGUGAGGAGAUCUAAACAGUAACUGCACCCGGAGAAAGUUGCAUGAAUGGGUUUUCGGACAGGGGUUCGACUCCCCUCACCUCCACCA
rnacentral:tmRNA from 1 species